rnacentral:lncRNA from 1 species
AUGAACAACGUACAAAACGAUUAUAAUGCUAUGCUCAAAGUGUAUAUAAGCCAUUUUCGCAUGGCUAUCCAAAUUUAUACAAAACCAAAGGGUACAUGACCAACAACAAAAAGGGUAGUCCUAUACAUGCCAUUUUCAGAGUUCAACCAAAAGUGUACCAAAAGGGCUUUGAUAGUGUGGACGACUUCGACUUCGACAAUCCCGAAUCCGAUAGCUGACGAACCAAAAUCUAUAAAACAGA